rnacentral:rRNA from 1 species
CGGGUGAGUAACACGUGGAUAACCUACCUAUAAGACUGGGAUAACUUCGGGAAACCGGAGCUGAUACCGGAUAAUAUUUUGAACCGCAUGGUUCAAAAGUGAAAGACGGUCUUGCUGUCACUUAUAGAUGGAUCCGCGCUGCAUUAGCUAGUUGGUAAGGUAACGGCUUACCAAGGCAACGAUGCAUAGCCGACCUGAGAGGGUGAUCGGCCACACUGGAACUGAGACACGGUCCAG